GACGAACGCUGGCGGCGCGCCUAACACAUGCAAGUCGAACGAGCGAGAGAGAGCUUGCUUUCUCAAGCGAGUGGCGAACGGGUGAGUAACGCGUGAGGAACCUGCCUCAAAGAGGGGGACAACAGUUGGAAACGACUGCUAAUACCGCAUAAGCCCACGGCUCGGCAUCGAGCAGAGGGAAAAGGAGCAAUCCGCUUUGAGAUGGCCUCGCGUCCGAUUAGCUAGUUGGUGAGGUAACGGCCCACCAAGGCGACGAUCGGUAGCCGGACUGAGAGGUUGAACGGCCACAUUGGGACUGAGACACGGCCCAGACUCCUACGGGAGGCAGCAGUGGGGAAUAUUGCACAAUGGGGGAAACCCUGAUGCAGCGACGCCGCGUGGAGGAAGAAGGUCUUCGGAUUGUAAACUCCUGUUGUUGAGGAAGAUAAUGACG
rnacentral:rRNA from 1 species